rnacentral:rRNA from 1 species
UCAUUUAAAGAAAGCGUAAUAGCUCACUGAUCGAGUCGUCCUGCGCGGAAGAUGUAACGGGGCUAAGCCAGUCACCGAAGCUGCGGAUAUCCGCAAGGAUAUGGUAGGAGAGCGUUCUGUAAGCCUGCGAAGGUGUCUUGUAAAGGAUGCUGGAGGUAUCAGAAGUGCGAAUGCUGACAUGAGUAGCGAUAAUGGGGGUGAAAAGCCCCCACGCCGUAAGC